UGAGUAACCUGCCCUUAACUCUGGGAUAAGCCUGGGAAACUGGGUCUAAUACCGGAUAUGACUCCUCAUCGCAUGGUGGGGGUGGAAAGCUUUUUGUGGUUUUGGAUGGACUCGCGGCCUAUCAGCUUGUUGGUGAGGUAAUGGCUCACCAAGGCGACGACGGGUAGCCGGCCUGAGAGGGUGACCGGCCACACUGGGACUGAGACACGGCCUAGACUCCUACGGGAGGCAG
rnacentral:rRNA from 1 species